GAGUGAGAGGUUGCCUUUUCAGCCUGCAGGAAGCCCACCAACUUUGCUGUCUCGUGCAGGAAUUUGCCAAUAGAGAAGAGGUGCCAACUGCCUCUUCCAUCACAUCUCUUAAAUCCAGUAAAAAUCGUGAACACCAAAUUGAGUUCUCAUUAGCCAGCUGGUGAGUUCCCAAACAUCGUCUUUAAAAUAAGG
rnacentral:lncRNA from 1 species